AAAAUCCGUCGACUUUUAAAAUCGUGAGGGUUCAAGCCCCCCUCUAUCCCCUCCCUUAUCCCCA
rnacentral:tRNA from 1 species